AGAGUUUGAUCCUGGCUCAGGAUGAACGCUGGCGGCGUGCCUAAUACAUGCAAGUCGAACGCUGAUUAUCGAAAGCUUGCUUUUGAUAUGAUGAGUGGCGAACGGGUGAGUAACACGUGGGAAACCUACCUCUUAGCAGGGGAUAACAUUUGGAAACAGAUGCUAAUACCGUAUAACAGUUAAAACCGCAUGGUUUUAAU
rnacentral:rRNA from 1 species